rnacentral:rRNA from 1 species
GAUGAACGCUGGCGGCGUGCCUAAUACAUGCAAGUCGAGCGAACAGACGAGGAGCUUGCUCCUCUGACGUUAGCGGCGGACGGGUGAGUAACACGUGGAUAACCUACCUAUAAGACUGGGAUAACUUCGGGAAACCGGAGCUAAUACCGGAUAAUAUAUUGAACCGCAUGGUUCAAUAGUGAAAGACGGUUUUGCUGUCACUUAUAGAUGGAUCCGCGCCACAUUAGCUAGUUCGUAAGGUAACGGCUUACCAAGGCAACGAUGCGUAGCCGACCUGAGAGGGUGAUCGGCCACACUGGAACUGAGACACGGUCCAGACUCCUACGGGAGGCAGCAGUAGGGAAUCUUCCGCAAUGGGCGAAAGCCUGACGGAGCAACGCCGCGUGAGUGAUGAAGGUCUUCGGAUCGUAAAACUCUGUUAUUAGGGAAGAACAAAUGUGUAAGUAACUAUGCACGUCUUGACGGUACCUAAUCAGAAAGCCACGGCUAACUACGUG